rnacentral:rRNA from 1 species
GACAGAGGGUGCAAACGUUGUUCGGAAUUACUGGGCGUAAAGCGCGUGUAGGCUGCUUGGAAAGUCGGAUGUGAAAGCCCUGGGCUCAACCUAGGAAGUGCAUUCGAAACUUCUGAGCUGGAGUGCUGGAGAGGAAGGCGGAAUUCUCGGUGUAGAGGUGAAAUUCGUAGAUAUCGAGAGGAACACCAGUGGCGAAAGCGGCCACCUGGACUGCACCUGACGCUGACACGCGAAAGCUAGGGGAGCGAACGGG